rnacentral:rRNA from 1 species
ACGGGUGAGUAACACGUGGAUAACCUACCUAUAAGACUGGAUAACUUCGGGAAACCGGAGCUAAUACCGGAUAAUAUUUUGAACCGCAUGGUUCAAAAGUGAAAGACGGUCUUGCUGUCACUUAUAGAUGGAUCCGCGCUGCAUUAGCUAGUUGGUAAGGUAACGGCUUACCAAGGCAACGAUGCAUAGCCGACCUGAGAGGGUGAUCGGCCACACUGGAACUGAGACACGGUCCAG